CUGUCUUUCUCGGCCUUAUGGCUAGGAUCAAGUGUAGUAUCUGUUCUUAUCCAGUUUAAUAUCAGAUACGUCCCCUAUUUGGGGACCGUAUAUUAAAUGGAUAUUUUGAACAGGCAGAUGAAAGAAGAGCUUGCUCUGGCCACUCCAAGCAUUGGCCUAGUAUUGCUGUUCCUCCAGGAGCGGUAUACUCCUC